GUCAUUUCCUGUUGAUGCACUCAGUCACUCAUUCAUCACAUCUUCUGAACACCGAUUUAUCCUGCCCAUCCAGGGGGGGGAUUGAACUGACAACCUUCCAGUGUCAUGCUUGCUUCUAUAAGCCUUACGUUGUUCUGCAGCUCGAUGGCUUCAAAGCGAACAUAUGAGAUCACCAUGAAAUCUGGAGGUCUGAUCAUCACUUUAUCGG